rnacentral:rRNA from 1 species
UACGGAGGGUGCGAGCGUUAUCCGGAAUUACUGGGUUUAAAGGGUGCGUAGGCGGCUAUGUAAGUCAGGAGUGAAAGUUUGCGGCUCAACCGUAAAAUUGCUUUUGAUACUGCAUGGCUAGAAUCAGGAUGAGGUUAGCGGAAUGUGGCAUGUAGCGGUGAAAUGCAUAGAUAUGCCAUAGAACACCAAUUGCGAAGGCAGCUGGCUAGACCUGCAUUGACGCUGAGGCACGAAAGUGUGGGGAUCAAACAGG